rnacentral:tRNA from 1 species
CCCUCGGUGGCUCAGAUGGACAGAGCGUCUGUCAUAUAAGCAGAAGAUCCCGGGUUCGAGUCCCGGUCGGGGCA